GAUGAACGCUAGCGGCAGGCUUAAUACAUGCAAGUCGAGGGGAAACGAUAUUGGAAGCUUGCUUCCGAUAGGCGUCGACCGGCGCACGGGUGAGUAACGCGUAUCCAACCUGCCCAUCACUUGGGGAUAACCUUGCGAAAGUAAGACUAAUACCCAAUGACGUCCAUAGAAGACAUCUGAAAUGGAUUAAAGAUUUAUCGGUGAUGGAUGGGGAUGCGUCUGAUUAGCUUGUUGGCGGGGUAGCGGCCCACCAAGGCGACGAUCAGUAGGGGGUCUGAGAGGAAGGGCCCCCACAUUGGAACUGAGACACGGUCCAAACUCCUACGGGAGGCAGCAGUGAGGAAUAAUGGUCAAUGGGCGAAAGCCUGAACCAGCCAAGUAGCGUGCAGGAUGACGGCCCUAUGGGUUGUAAACUGCUUUUAUAAGGGAAUAAAGUGAGUCUCGUGAGACUUUUUGCAUGUACCUUAUGAAUAAGGACCGGCUAAUUCCGUGCCAGCAGCCGCGGUAAAAC
rnacentral:rRNA from 1 species